AAGAGGAUGCUGCCAUUCCUGAAGCGAAAGAGUGGCUGCAGAGGAGAAACUAACAGGGUGUCAUUGCUGAAAGGAGCGUCUGCCUGGCUGAGCUAAUCCCCAGAACCGCCAGGAGGUGGCGCUGUCCAGCGAGGGCUGUUAGAGGAAAAACAAGCAGGAAGGGAAGAAUGACUCAAGACAAGCCACUUCUCAGCAAACACUUGAGACAAUUCUAGGAGGUGAAUCAAAAGGACUGAAGAGGUUUAAAAAAAAGCCUCCCUCUCAAGAAGGAUUGUAAAGUCUUCCAGGCAGCUACUGUCUCUCACUCAGUAUACGCUAUGUUUAACACAAUGGGGCCCUGACUGCCUCCUGAAGAUUCUACUAUAAUACAAGUAAUAUAUCAAAUUGCAAAAAAAAAAAACCUGAACUACACUCCAGAAGGAUUUAAAAAUCUUUU